rnacentral:lncRNA from 1 species
CCAAAAUAAAAUACAUGUCACUUUUAAUAGGACGAAGAUGGUAGAUUUAUAGGUUUCACUUUAAUGCUUUCUCCACAUUGUAUUCAAACAAAGUAGAGUAACAAUUGUGCGUGUGUGUUGGCCUAACGGUAAAUGGUUAAUGCUCAAGACCUGAAGUACUGGGUUUGAGUCCACCGUAGUGGAGUCUCUAAAUUGUUUUAAAUUGUUUUAUUUACUUGUGUAAUUUAUCAAAAAAGAAAGAAAGAAAAAAAAGUAGAGUAACAAUCUUGUUUACUUUUUGUAUUAUAAGUAUAUGCAAUAUGAGGAAAUUCUUUAGCUAUUGAAAAAGAAGGCAUGCUAUUUUUCCCCCCAAAUUGUAACAGCUGCAUGAAAUUCACCACUUGAGAAAAACAAGCUACUGCUAAAGAGAUUCAACUUAUUUGCAAACAAAGCUACAUCAACAUUUACAACUACUCCUUAAUUUUAAGAUAACUGCAUCAUAGUUUCAGAUAAACAGACUCACAGUAGAAAACGUUUACAUCUGAUACCUCCACACAAUUCAGCUCCAUUACUAUGUCAGAUGAGUUUAUGCUGUCUCUCAUAUAUAUCAACCAACACUAACCAAGAGUAUCCAUUUCCCCGACAACGACAACGAGCAUCCACCGUGAUAAACAGUAGAAGACGACGCCCUGGAAAUUUCACAACUUGAUAAAAAAAACCAUGCUUUUCAACUCAGCAAGUUACAGAAUGAGCAAAGGAACAGCAAACACAUUUGGUUAUCCCAAUUAUCAAUCAGAGGCAGAGGCCUCCAAGAUGAACUACUUAUUGAGUUAUUUGUAUCAAAUUCCAUCAAACUAGAUUCCAGUUCAGCAUAGCAAGAACAAUCAAGAACAUAAUCACCAAUCUCAACUCAUUAUUUCAUCAAUCAUAGCCUAAGCAGGGAGCUGCAGUUCCACACUUAUCAACAACCAUCCAAAUCCAAUAAUCUACAUAUAACAAGAACACAAAGUAGUUGAAUAAAAUACGAAAAACAAGAAACGCUAC